UACGGAGGGUGCGAGCGUUAAUCGGAAUUACUGGGCGUAAAGCGCGCGUAGGUGGUUGGAUAAGUCUGAUGUGAAAGCCCUGGGCUUAACCUGGGAAUGGCAUUGGAAACUGUCGAGCUAGAGUGUGGGAGAGGGGAGUGGAAUUUCCGGUGUAGCAGUGAAAUGCGUAGAGAUCGGAAGGAACACCAGUGGCGAAGGCGGCUCCCUGGACCAACACUGACGCUGAGGUGCGAAGGCGUGGGGAG
rnacentral:rRNA from 1 species